UGGGGAAUAUUGCACAAUGGGGGAAACCCUGAUGCAGCAACGCCGCGUGAGUGAUGACGGCCUUCGGGUUGUAAAGCUCUGUCUUCAGGGACGAUAAUGACGGUACCUGAGGAGGAAGCCACGGCUAACUACGUGCCAGCAGCCGCGGUAAUACGUAGGUGGCGAGCGUUGUCCGGAUUUACUGGGCGUAAAGGGAGCGUAGGCGGACUUUUAAGUGAGAUGUGAAAUACCCGGGCUCAACUUGGGUGCUGCAUUCCAAACUGGAUAUCUAGAGUGCAGGAGAGGAAAGGAGAAUUCCUAGUGUAGCGGUGAAAUGCGUAGAGAUUAGGAAGAAUACCAGUGGCGAAGGCGCCUUUCUGGACUGUAACUGACACUGAGGCUCGAAAGCGUGGGGAGCAAACAGG
rnacentral:rRNA from 2 species